AUUGAACGCUGGCGGCAUGCUUUACACAUGCAAGUCGAACGGCAGCACAGGUGGUAACACCGGGUGGCGAGUGGCGAACGGGGGAGUAAAACAUCGGAACGUACCGUGUAGCGGGGGACAGCCACGCGAAAGCGUGGCUAAUACCGCAUACGCCCACGCAAUUGAGGAAAGUGGGGGACCUUCGGGCCUCACACUAUACGAGCCGCCGAUGGCUGAUUAGCUAGUUGGUAGGGUAAAGGCCUACCAAAGCAACGAUCAGUAGCGGGUCUUAGAGGACGAUCCGCCACACUGGGACUGACACACGGCCCAGACUCCUACGGGAGGCAGCAGUGAGGACUUUUGGACAAUGGGGGCAACCCUGAUCCAGCCAUGCCGCGUGUCUGAAGAAGGCCUUCGGGUUGUAAAGGACUUUUGUUGGGGAGCAAACGCAUGAACCCGACUACGUAUCAUGCGCUGAGUGUACCUAAAGAAUAAGCACCGGCUAACUACGUGCCAGCCGCCGCGGUAA
rnacentral:rRNA from 1 species